rnacentral:rRNA from 1 species
GACAGAGGUGCCGAGCGUUAGGCGGAAUCACUGGGCUUAAAGCGUGUGUAGGCGGACUUCUAAGUACCUUGUGAAAUCCCCACGGCUCAACCGUGGAACUGCUCGGUAUACUGGUUGUCUUGAGCCACUUAGGGGCAGUCGGAACAGACGGUGGAGCGGUGAAAUGCGUAGAUAUCGGAAGGAACACCUGUGGCGAAAGCGGCUCACUGGACCACAACUGACGCUGAUGCACGAAAGCUAGGGGAGCAAACAGG